UGCAAGCAGAUCCUCAAAGGAAACAUUCAAUGUAAGUUCAAAGAGUCACUGUGUAAUCAAUCUUGAGAAAAAAAUGAAGGGAAGCAAGAACAAAAGGAAGCCUAAUAACUUUUCAAGACAGCUACUUUCAUCAACUAAACACGAGUUGUAAUUCUGCCAAUUAAUGAUAUGAAACUACUUUGAAUGACAUGUGGAUGCCUGGAACUGCAGAGCCAAACCCAAGCUUGUUCAAAACCUUGGAAUGUCCCAGCAGCAUCCCACUUCUUUGGACAGACAUCAGCUGCAGUCUAGUAUGUGAGCUUCUAGACACAGUUGGAUCACCAGUUAGGUUUACCAAGUGGACUUGGCAUCUGGUGUCCCAGAGUGGAAGAAGCUGAGAUGUAAAGGAUUAAGGUGUGAAAGUAGAGGUAAAAGUUGGAAAGCACCAGAAGAAAAUUAAGUCUAUGAACCACAGAGGUGAGAUGGAGUUUUACUGAGACCAUCUUUCCAAAAUGUAUGUAAAUUAACUGCAAAUAGAAAAGUUAACGCUAGAAUUAAAUCAUGAGAGUAGUGAUAGAGACAUGGAAAAUGGGGCCAAAAUGGCAGAAAGAGUUGUCUUAAUCCACCUUCCUGUGCCAAACCUGCAUAAAUGAGAGAGAUAUGAUUAUGGACUGGUGUCUGCUUUAUUAUUUUAAGGUAUUUAAUCUAAAGCAGAGAAUUUCACCAUUUCCCCAUGUAUUCUUGCCUAGUUUCUAUUGUCAAAAACUUUUUGCUAAUAUCUAAUAUAACUCUUCUAUUAUGUAAUUUUAGCACAUUCAUUUCUCUUGAUAUCCACAACAGAUACAGAGAACAGAUGACAACCUGUGAUUAUUUGAAAGCUUCUCUCAUCUCUCCAGU
rnacentral:lncRNA from 1 species